rnacentral:rRNA from 1 species
GACGGAGGAUGCAAGCGUUAUCCGGAAUUAUUGGGCGUAAAGCGUCCGCAGGUGGCUGUUCAAGUCUGCUGUCAAAGCGCAGAGCUUAACUCUGUACAGGCGGUGGAAACUGAAGAGCUAGAGUAUGGUAGGGGUAGAGGGAAUUCCCGGUGUAGCGGUGAAAUGCGUAGAUAUCGGGAAGAACACCAGUGGCGAAAGCGCUCUACUGGGCCAUAACUGACGCUGAGGGACGAAAGCUAGGGGAGCGAAAGGG